rnacentral:rRNA from 1 species
GCCUUAAUUGGCUUAUAACUAUAUCCACUUACACCUGUGAACUGUUCUACUACUUGACGCAAGUCGAGUAUUUUUACAAACAAUGUGUAAUGAACGUCGUUUUAUUAUAACAAAAUAAAACUUUCAACAACGGAUCUCUUGGCUCUCGCAUCGAUGAAGAACGCAGAGAAUUGCGAUAAGUAAUGUGAAUUGCAGAAUUCAGUGAAUCAUCGAAUCUUUGAACGCACCUUGCGCCCCUUGGUAUUCCGAGGGGCAUGCCUGUUUGAGCGUCAUUAAAUUCUCAAACUCACAUUUAUUUGUGAUGUUUGGAUUGUUGGGGGUUGCUGGCUGUAACAAGUCAGCUCCUCUUAAAUGCAUUAGCAGGACUCCUCAUUGCCUCUGCGCACGAUGUGAUAAUUAUCACUCACCAAUAGCACGCAUGAAUAGAGUCCAGCUCUCUAAUCGUCCGCAAGGACAAUUUGACAAUUUGACCUCAAAUCAGGUAGGACUACCCGCUGAACUUAAGCAUAUCAAUAAGCGGAGGA